UCUCUUUAUAAUUUUGACAAUUAAUAAUUUCAUUUUUUUUUUUAUCUCUUUCCUCUCUUUAUAUUUUCGACAUUUAAUCAUUCCAUUUACACUGAAGUUUUUCAAGCAAUUGUGCACAGUUUCCAUUAAGAGACGAGUGAGCCAAACAUCAGUGGUCAUACAGCUUUUGUAAAUGCAGAGGAAAGGGAGUUAUAAAAAGAGAGAGAGAGAGGGGGGGGGUGUCACAGGGGAGUGAGAAGGCAGCUGUGUUGAAGGAAGAGUAUUAAAGCAAACUGAAAAUGAGAAAACGGAUACUGGCUUAGACUGUAGCAUUAGAAGACAGCUAAAUCUUUGAAUCCCUUGUUGUUUACCUGAUCCUCCAAACUCUUGCCUGAACAAAAGACAAAAGCAAUCCAAAGUGAGAAGAAUAAAGAAAAAAGAAAAAAAGAAAAGACAAAAUAGAUACAGGCUUAAACUGUAGCAUUAGAAGACAAGCCUGCUCAUCCCUUCUCCUGGCUUUAGCCUCUACUGUUCUUAUCCUUGCUUUAACUAACAAUCUACUCCCCCAGUCUCCUACAUGCCUCAGGUCUUUCUCUGCAUUCCUGACUGCCAUCUGACCCUGCCAUUCUCUAUUUUCUUCCUCACCAUCCUGUCGCCUAACUUCUGCCGUUCUUCCUUUGUGUUCUUCGUUUCCACUGUUCCAUUUCUUUUUUUCUUUUUUUUUUCCAAGAUGAGGUUCCCUCUGCUCUAAAUAUCUUUUCAAGCCAUCUCUCCUCGCCGAGUCCUUCUAUCUUCCUAAGUAAAUUAAGUUUUCCUUUCUCAACCCUGUCCCUGAAUGUGCUUCAUCACAUCUCACCUCAGAUUGCCUCUACUGCUGUACUGUUUGGGAGCCCUAAACUCCACCUGCUUGUAAUGUUCGUGAUCUCUCUAACUUCAUGAGAUCUCCCUCCCGGUAAUGACACCGCCGUGUGCACAGCGCCUCGCCUCCCGCUCCUCCAACCCAGCGCACUGGUCACCACAUUGGUAUUGCAAGGUUUCUGAGUGAUAAAGUGGGUCUACCUGUCACAUGAGUUACUCCAGAGAUGUUUCAAAGUUUAUAAGUAGGUUUUACAAGGGUUAUAAGUGGGUAUUACAAAAUCUUAGUGGUAUUAGUAGUACUAGUGGUAUUAGCUACAGAGGCAAGACGAGGUGUGAAGUGGUUGUACCUGUCAUGGCAGCCACUACAGGGUUAUUACAAGGUCAAUAAGUGUGCUAUACAAGGGUUAAGUAGUUUUACUCGCAAUAUUUCCCGACCAAUCAAAGGCUACAACGAAGCUGCCAAGUGGUUCUGUCUGUCAUUAGCCACAACAGGCAUUUCAGACUGGUUGUGGUUCCAGCUGCUGCAUUACAAGGUUAACAUAACAGCGUAGGCAAUGGUCGGUAUUACAGCCGUCAUGUUGGUCACCACAGAGAUAUUGCAAGAUAUAUACGUGGUUGAGUGGUGCUGUAUUAGUCAGGGGAAGUGGGGAUGUGUUUAACGAAGCUUUUAAGUGGUUUCACCUGUCAGGUUAGCCGCCACAGAUGUAAUUUACACUGUGGUUAAGUAAUUACAUCUGCCGUAUCAGUUAUCACAGGUAUUUGAAGGUUUAUAAGCAAUUACACUCGUCAUACUAAUGAUGAGCUCAGGUGUUACGAGGUUCAUGAGUGACAAGAUGGUUCCCUCUGCCUCGCCAGACUCGCAGCACCCACCCCGCCUCUCUGCUUCAGUCACCAGCCUGCCCCUCCCUCCCUCCUUGCCUUCCUCCCACCCCCUGGACAGGCAGCGUGCAGGCUUGGUAGACACAGAUGAAGCAUUCUUUCCCCAGCACUUGCCUUCACACCCACGGCCACGCGCCCCUCCGUCACAGCGUUAACCACCCAACAAGCACCGCAUCACAGCCAGGCGGGGUACAACUGCCAUCAUGAUAGUUUGCAUCAACGACCCAACAAUACCCAAUUAUCUGCCACUACAGACGAGUAAUGUGUGCGUGGCUUCAUUAUCUUGUACAGAGAGAGAGAGAGAGAGAGAGAGAGAGAGAGAGAGAGAGAGAGAGAGAGAGUUUGUUAAUUUAUUGCGCCAGUCUACAGAAAACACCAUACAAAACUACUCCUGACAGUAUAAAUUGAUAAUUCAGAUAAUGACAUGAUGAAGGCAAGCAGGUUAUGGUCUGGCAGCGUAUCAAAGGGAGUGACAGCAGACAUAAAUGAAUUAACGGUGCUGGUUUGGCUUGUUAACUACCUGUCAUGAAUUAACGGUGCUAGUUUGGCUUGUUAACUACCUGUCAUGAAUUAACGGUGCUGGUUUGGCUUGUUAACUACCUGUCAUGAAUUAACAGUGCUAGUUUGGCUUGUUAACUACCUGUCAUGAAUUAACGGUGCUGGUUUGGCUUGUUAACUACCUGUCAUGAAUUAACGGUGCUGGUUUGGCUUGUUAACUACCUGUCAUGAAUCAUCUUUGGUAUGUGAUCUACACUUAAUAUUGCGAUCUGUGUGUUAUGAACCUUUUGUAUGCAAUGUACACUUUAUAUUGUGAUCUACAACAAGAAAGGUUGUACUCAUCAAGAACAAGGAAAACACUUGUUCUGGUUUGGAGAGAAAAUGUCUGGUUAGAGUCUGACGCAGGAGUGGAAUGUCUGUUGUAGCGUCGAAGUUCCAAGAAGAGACCGUGAGACACUUCACCCAGUCAUUCAGAGAGAAGUCGCUGAAGGCUCAGUAAUCCAUUCCAAUGACUCGCCAGCUUACUCUAAUUUAAACCAACUCAAAUUUCAUCAUUUUUCCGUAAAUCAUCAUCAAUAUUACGGCGAUUCUAACAUCGGAGGUCGUACUCAAGGAACUGAAAGAUCCUGGCUUGAUGCGAAGAUUCGUAUAUUGAAAAUAAUGUGAGGCAUCGAUCAAAGAACAUUUCAGUCACCGAGACUACUUGUGUUGGCGGAUGAUGACAAAACAAGCUCCUGACGUCUAUGUAGCAUGUUUAGCCCAUGUACUGUACGUGCUGCUCAUCGCUACAAUAUGAAGACAAGAAAAAAAUAAUUACAUUUUCUCUCUAUGCUAUAUAUCAUUCCAGAAUAAAUAUUUGUACAGUG